AGGACGAACGCUGGCGGCGUGCUUAACACAUGCAAGUCAUGGGGGCCCGCAAGGGCAACCGGCGAACGGGUGCGUAACACGUGAGCAAUCUGCCUAGAUGUGGGGGAUAGCCGGCCCAACGGCCGGGUAAUACCGCAUACGCUCUCCGAGUGGCAUCACUUGGUGAGGAAACCUCCGGGGCAUCUAGAGGAGCUCGCGGCCUAUCAGCUAGUUGGUGGGUAAUGGCCUACCAAGGCAUUGACGGGUAGC
rnacentral:rRNA from 1 species